UAAGAAGAGGAAGAAGGAGGGUGAAACGCCCCAAAACCCGAACUGAAGCACCCUCAAACUUAGGUCUCCUACUAGGGCUACUCAGAGUAUCAAGAGGACACAUCUGAGCGUUGGAUCGUUCGUUUCCAGCAAGAAACGGGCAAGAAUGCGAGGUGACGAGUCUUGCAAGUUUUCGAAGGAAACGCGGCAAAAAAUUGCAUUGGAAAACAAAAUCGAGAGAUUGUCCUACUUCGGUCUGUGAAUUUACACUUCGUGGCAAAAGGGGUGUUUGGGAGCUUGAAAGUCACAGAGGAAUUGUCGUCCCGGGGCGUCUGUCUAGUUUACCUUUGUGUACUUGGCAUUUAUUUCAUCAUGUACC